rnacentral:rRNA from 1 species
UACGAAGGGUGCAAGCGUUACUCGGAAUUACUGGGCGUAAAGGGUGCGUAGGUGGUUUGUUAAGUCUGCUGUGAAAUCCCCGGGCUCAACCUGGGAAUGGCAGUGGAUACUGGCAAGCUAGAGUGCGGUAGAGGGUAGUGGAAUUCCCGGUGUAGCGGUGAAAUGCGUAGAGAUCGGGAGGAACAUCAGUGGCGAAGGCGGCCAUCUGGGACAACACUGACGCUGAAGCACGAAAGCGUGGGGAGCAAACAGG